AUUGGGUUAAUUCUUCGCUGACCCCGCGCUCAUACCGGAUCAGUGAAUUUCGUUGUUCUGACCAGUUCUACGUCCCAACAGAGACAGUUGCAACUGCCAAGUGGCCAGGGAUGAGAAUCCACCCUGGUGACACUGUUUUUGACCUGGAAAGUCCUGUCAUCUCGAGCAGCAGACAAAUUGGAUUCUCUUCUGUAGCCCCACCUUGGUCCUCGCAUAAUUGCGUGCUAUUCUUUGAAGCUCAUCCAGCCAGCCUCUUUUUACCACGAGAGAUGAUUUAACCGUUGAAAGAAAUGUCUCUUAAUCCUGUUGGCAAUUCGGAUUGACGAUAUGAAAACCUGUCACGUCGCGGUUUAACAGGCCGGACUGACCGGUCAAUACUUUCUAAACCAUCGGGGACUGUCGCGAACAGAGGAAUCGGUGACGUUUUCAUGAAAUCCUGCCAAAAGUCUCUACGGACGAAAACGUCCGGGCACAAUAGCAGUGUCACUCGGACCGGGCGCAGGUGCCAUAAACAAUUCACGCUCGUGGCACACAUUCUAGCUGGGAAUCGCUCCUGCGAGUGCCACCUAAUAAUACACACGAUGCAAAUUUAAUUCGAUAAGAGUAUUACACUGGUCGAUAGGAAUUAUCAUACGAAAUGAGAGAUCAUCUUCUUAUUGCAUUAAAUUCGACAGAGCUUAUGGAAUCAGCGCGUUCUCAUGUCUUUCAACAAUUUCGAAUAAACGUAAUCUUCAUAGAUUUUCAGGCAUCAAGUGACGAAACAAAAAUCGUGUUUCUGGCUAAACGAUUUAUCGGAAUUUCGCACGAUUACACGUCGGUUGUAACGAAUCGCCGUGAUACCUGGUCCACGCGAUUAUUUCCGUUGAACGGUGGCGUGACGGCCCGGCUUACGUGGAUCACCGUGAAAUAUGACGGACGACGGUACGAUUAGAGCGAGAAGGAACGAAGUAAUCUCUCUCGAUCCCCGCGACUUUUCAUCCACGGUUGAAUUAGGGCAGAGUUUGGAAGAAUAGUUAUGGCAGUGCUAUUGGGUCACGGGUAUUCAUCUCGAGGUAUUUCACAUUUGAAUACGGUCCGCAACACGCGAGUCGGGGCUACUUGACACCUUCAAUUAUCCUCGCACGUGUCAAUUCCAAUAGACAGACAAUCGAUACAGCCGCGUCCGAGGCAGCCGUUGAAUUGUCAUAGAUGACUGAUGAAUAUAGGGGCAUCGGGUGAAUCGCGAGCCCCAUUAACCAGAACGCUGGUCAAUAAUCAAACUACCGUCCCGAAUUUUCGCUCGCUCUUUUAACCUACAUUCAUCGUUUCAUUUAGUUGUCUCGUUCAGAGACGUUUUCUGAUUACCGAGGAGUUCGUUAGUGUCUUAAUUAACGAGACGGCCGACUGAUAAGCGUGAAAUCGUCGAGCUGCAAGACGUUUAACGUUUAUUAUGUCCACCGUCAGCCACGGGCAUAAUUGACGUUCUUUGGAAUUCGAUAGUUCAACCCCCGCGGCCGUACCGCCCUUUCAAUUAACCCUGUCACGUCAAUUUUCGUGCGACGAGCUUCCGAUCGAUAUCGCCUCGGGCAGAGCAAAUAAGCCCGACGUCUAUUUGCCACGGAUUAGGAAUCGCACUCAUUAGACUUCUCGAUGGCCAUUAAAAACGAUCGUCGACCCACGUCUUUUCACGUCAGCGAACGUCUGAACCUGCGCUGGUUUGUUCUACUUAUCCAACACACCACACGGUUUUCUUAUCACCGAAGCACGGUAUAAGGAAGAAUAGUGGGUUCACUUAAGGUGUUGGCUUUUAUGAUCUCAUGACCAACAGAUUCGGUAGAUUGUUGGUUGAGCGUGGACUCUAGUUUGAGAGGUAAAACUACGAUUUUAUACUUCACAAGAUUGUGAGUUAAGAAGACUCAAUUAUUAUCGGUACGUAGCUGGAGUUGUUAAAUAAAAAAUAAAUUUAUUCAGUUUCCUUUUAACUCUACUCGUUAAGGAAU